rnacentral:rRNA from 1 species
UGGAGGUUGUGCCCUUGAGGCGUGGCUUCCGGAGCUAACGCGUUAAGUCGACCGCCUGGGGAGUACGGCCGCAAGGUUAAAACUCAAAUGAAUUGACGGGGGCCCGCACAAGCGGUGGAGCAUGUGGUUUAAUUCGAUGCAACGCGAAGAACCUUACCUGGUCUUGACAUCCACGGAAGUUUUCAGAGAUGAGAAUGUGCCUUCGGGAACCGUGAGACAGGUGCUGCAUGGCUGUCGUCAGCUCGUGUUGUGAAAUGUUGGGUUAAGUCCCGCAACGAGCGCAACCCUUAUCCUUUGUUGCCAGCGGUCCGGCCGGGAACUCAAAGGAGACUGCCAGUGAUAAACUGGAGGAAGGUGGGGAUGACGUCAAGUCAUCAUGGCCCUUACGACCAGGGCUACACACGUGCUACAAUGGCGCAUACAAAGAGAAGCGACCUCGCGAGAGCAAGCGGACCUCAUAAAGUGCGUCGUAGUCCGGAUUGGAGUCUGCAACUCGACUCCAUGAAGUCGGAAUCGCUAGUAAUCGUGGAUCAGAAUGCCACGGUGAAUACGUUCCCGGGCCUUGUACACACCGCCCGUCACACCAUGGGAGUGGGUUGCAAAAGAAGUAGGUAGCUUAACCUUCGGGAGGGCGCUUACCACUUUGUGAUUCAUGACUGGGGUGAAGUCGUAACAAGGUAACCGUAGGGGAACCUGCGGUUGGAUCACCUCCUUACCUUAAAGAAGC